UCGGGAAAACUUUCAAAAGACUUCUAUAGAAGUUUUUCCCGAGAAGUCUUCUAUAAAAAGUCAAAUUUCUGACAAACUUUGGUCAAUUGCAAAACUAACAUGUUUAUCUGAGAAGACUUUUCAAGAAGUCUUCUUUGAGUUUUUCAGUUUUUUCUUAAUAAAGGAAAGUUAGAAGACUUCUAGGGAAGUUUUUUUGAUGAAGAAUGUUAAUGCAGUGAGGCCAGAGUAAAAUGCAGAAAUAAACAAGACACAAGUUUUUCUCUUUUCGAAUUCACUAGAACAAGAGAGUCUUACACCAAUCUUUUCUAUUACAAGAAUCCUUUAGGAUUACCCCAAUCCUAAGCUAAAACUCACCCUAGAGCCUAGACUUUUGUUUAUCAGAAUCUUCCCGAUCCCGAGCUAAACUCCCCCUGAAUCUAGACUUCAAUCUUCCAACUUCUCGAAAGUACUUCACCAACUACGUCAGCACCUAGCACAGAGCAGUGACACCAAAGGCUUGAUCACACAAGCACCAAACAAUGAUCUCUCGACUUUUUUUUUCUUUUUUCAC
rnacentral:lncRNA from 1 species